rnacentral:hammerhead_ribozyme from 1 species
GUACUGAUGAAGAGUCCCAAACUAGGACGAAACGGCUUUCCGGUAC